rnacentral:rRNA from 1 species
GAUGAACGCUGGCGGCGUGCCUAAUACAUGCAAGUCGAGCGAACAGACGAGGAGCUUGCUCCUCUGACGUUAGCGGCGGACGGGUGGGUAACACGUGGAUAACCUACCUAUAAGACUGGGAUAACUUCGGGAAACCGGAGCUAAUACCGGAUAAUAUAUUGAACCGCAUGGUUCAAUAGUGAAAGACGGUUUUGCUGUCACUUAUAGAUGGAUCCGCGCCGCAUUAGCUAGUUGGUAAGGUAACGGCUUACCAAGGCAACGAUGCGUAGCCGACCUGAGAGGGUGAUCGGCCACACUGGAACUGAGACACGGUCCAGACUCCUACGGGAGGCAGCAGUAGGGAAUCUUCCGCAAUGGGCGAAAGCUUGACGGAGCAACGCCGCGUGAGUGAUGAAGGUCUUCGGAUCGUAAAACUCUGUUAUUAGGGAAGAACAAAUGUGUAAGUAACUAUGCACGUCUUGACGGUACCUAAGCAGAAAGCCACGGCUAACUACGU